AGAACAUCACCCACUGCCUGUGGAAGGGGCACAGCUCCAACCCCUCUGCCCCACAGCAGAGCAGGAUAGGCCCCGGCCCCAAGUGAGCCCAGUCCAGCUCAGCAGUGCCUGCAGAGCCCCCAGCACUGCCCCUGCUCAGCUCAGCUCAUGUUGUGUCACACAGCGUAGGUGUGAGUGCUGACACUUCUUCACCAGAAAUGGUUUCUAGCUUGGACCAACAGAAUGAGUUCUGUUCAUUUGUAGCCUGUGAUUGCAGAAGUCACUGGCACAUAAAGCAGAGGUGGGGAAAAGUGUUCUUACACCAAAGAGAAGCUAUGUAAGUGAGCUUCUUGCAGCAUGUCUGCUUCCUUUUAUUAGAGUAUUUACCAUUAACUUUAUCCCCCAGUGGCCAAUUACUGUUCUUUUUAUUUCUUUUUAUUGUGAGACUCAGAGGAUGCUGCGAACAAACCUCUUCUGAUUUUCCUCAGCAAUUACUGCUGUGGUUAUACCUCUCUCUUCUCCACUCUGAGUGCCAGCACAGCCCCACAGAAUGUCUGCAUGUCUGCAUCCCAGCAUUAACCCCACCUCACCCUGCCCUCCCUUCAGCUGGGUUUAAGCCAACAAAACUCUUGCUCCAGCUGCUGCUGCUGCACCUACUCACACCAGCCUCAAUACCAUAAAAAUGUGCUCCAGAGGGUGCUGCUGGAGAGAAGCUUUAUCCAGCACUGAUGUCAAUCCACAGGGAUCACAAUGCCCCAUUCCAAGCAGAUCACCCUGAAAACCUGUCCUGGCUGCAGCAAGAAAUUUGUUGCAGUUUCACUUUUCCACAGAAGAUGAGUGGAAGUGAUGCGUUCUGGAUGCUCUCAUAGGUGACAUUGCCAGUUGGGUGUUCAUUGAUCAUCAUCACUGUCAACGUUAUUAUAGGGGUGGCUCCUCUUCAGCAAUUCAGCCAGUCCAACCCACGAGGACUGCAUGAGAAAUGAAUCGCACAGGGCUGUGAGAUGCAUGUGACAGAACACUUAUCUGAGACUUGUGUUCCUGUGAAAAGCUAAACUGCAUUACACAGGAGAGCAGCAGGAG
ensembl:lncRNA